AAAGUCGUAACAAGGUCUCCGUUGGUGAACCAGCGGAGGGAUCAUUACCAGAGUUUUACAACUCCCAACCCUUCUGUGAACCUACCCAUCGUUGCUUCGGCGGACUCGCCCCAGCGUCCGGACGGCCCCGCGCCGGCCCGCGACCUGGACCCAGGCGGCCGCCGGAGACCACACAACCCUGUAUCCAUCAGUCUCUCUGAAUCCGCCGCAAGGCAACACAAAUGAAUCAAAACUUUCAACAACGGAUCUCUUGGUUCUG
rnacentral:misc_RNA from 1 species